rnacentral:rRNA from 1 species
AUUGAACGCUGGCGGCAGGCCUAACACAUGCAAGUCGAGCGGAUGAGUGGAGCUUGCUCCAUGAUUCAGCGGCGGACGGGUGAGUAAUGCCUAGGAAUCUGCCUGGUAGUGGGGGACAACGUUUCGAAAGGAACGCUAAUACCGCAUACGUCCUACGGGAGAAAGUGGGGGAUCUUCGGACCUCACGCUAUCAGAUGAGCCUAGGUCGGAUUAGCUAGUUGGGGAGGUAAAGGCUCACCAAGGCGACGAUCCGUAACUGGUCUGAGAGGAUGGUCAGGCAACCUGGAACUGAGACACGGGCCAGACGCCUACGGGAGGCAGCAGUGGGGAAUAUUGGACAAUGGGCGAAAGCCUGAUCCAGCCAUGCCGCGUGUGUGAAGAAGGUCUUCGGAUUGUAAAGCACUUUAAGUUGGGAGGAAGGGCAGUAAGUUAAUACCUUGCUGUUUUGACGUUACCAACAGAAUAAGCACCGGCUAACUUCGUGCCAGCCGCCGCCGUAAGAC